GUGGGGAAUCUUGCGCAAUGGGCGAAAGCCUGACGCAGCCAUGCCGCGUGAAUGAUGAAGGUCUUAGGAUUGUAAAAUUCUUUCACCGGGGACGAUAAUGACGGUACCCGGAGAAGAAGCUCCGGCUAACUUCGUGCCAGCAGCCGCGGUAAUACGAAGGGGGCUAGCGUUGCUCGGAAUUACUGGGCGUAAAGGGCGCGUAGGCGGACAGCUUAGUCAGAGGUGAAAGCCCAGGGCUCAACCUUGGAAUUUCCUUUGAUACUGGCUGUCUUGAGUUUGGGAGAGGUUAGUGGAACUCCGAGUGUAGAGGUGAAAUUCGUAGAUAUUCGGAAGAACACCAGUGGCGAAGGCGACUCACUGGCCCAAUACUGACGCUGAGGCGCGAAAGCGUGGGGAGCAAACAGGAUUAGAUACCCGUGUAGUCC
rnacentral:rRNA from 1 species